UCGUGCGAUGAGAGUCGUCUCGCCGGACGCGGGGGCCCACCACAACCCCCAGCCUCUCUCCACUCUGCUUCGUCAUUUUGAGGCGCGUUGCCGGAGGUCCGCCGGAGAUUGGGAAGGCAUUGUAGAAGCGGGAGGAGAGAACCCCCUACAUAAGGAGGAUAGAGGGGCUAGAGCUCCGCGCGCAGUGACCACUAGGCGGAGGCGGAAGGGUGGCGUCCGGGGCCGUCGCUUCUCUGCGUGCCGCGUCCACGAAGCGACGGAUCGAACGGGAGGGACACCGCACGUCUGUGCAGCUCGACUCCUAGCGGCGAAGAGCGAGAGCCAGAAGCGCCAUCGUCAGCGGUCGAGAAAUCAGGCCUCAGAUCGCCGGGGGGUGCAGUUAGGCCGUGUCUGGCCGCCGGAGGCUGUCGCGCUCGUACAGCUCAUACUCUCUGCUAGCUUGGUGAGCUCCUCGUCUUCAUGAGUACCCCGACUUCCUCGCGUCUCACCCGAACUCCAGCGGAAGCUAACUGCCAUGGGCCUCACUAAAUUCAAAGUUAAAGCAACAUUUUUGAGGUUUUGUGCACACGACCAAGCAAGAAGGUCCAACACCCAUUUUCAGUAAAAUCAGUACUAGCUGCUCAUGUCGGAAAAACAAGGGGAAAACACUGGAAAAAUAGUUGCAAUCAAGAUGAAUAAGGCUUUUGUAAAAGUGAAGGUGUUUGAGAGGGCACAUCAAGAUAGAAGCUCACCUGUCAGGUCCAUGGCCUCCAAAAUGGGGGCAACAGUUGUGGCAAUGGAGGAGAGGACAGAUGGAGAAGGGCAUGUCAAGGGGGGAGGUUUGGGAGUCUGCGACUGGGAAGGGGAAGGAGGAUUUGGUGCAUCGGCAUGAGCAGCAGUUACGAUUGUGACAGACUCGUCCCUGGAGGCCAUGUGCGUGAGGCGUUUCUUUCCUUUUUUGGUUUGCUAGCUGUAUCCGGGGAGAGGUCCACUACCAAUUUUGGGGUGUGUGCUCUGGACCGCUAGCCAGCCAACGGUUGCUGGCUAGUCGUGUCCAAUAGUAAAAAUUUCAUAAAAAGGAAAU